UAUACGCUAUCUACGGGAUUUGAAAUCCUUUAACGGUGAACUAACCAGUGUAUAG
rnacentral:tRNA from 1 species